GCGCUGUGAGGGGAUGGCAGCGUUGCUUCCCUUCUAUCCCUCGUUGGUGGGCUCUUCAGCGAUCGGAGCUCUGGUCUGCUGCCUUCCUGAAGUGUGAAGUGUGAAUUACAGAAUGGAAUGAUCCAGAAGUCCCAAGGACUGCGGUGGGGAGGGGAGAGGAAACUUUACAUCACUUCUGUUCCACUGCACUGCUGAUGGGUGGCAGCUGCAGAAUGAGCAAGGAGGAAAGAAAUCAACAGAAGCCUCCUGUUAGGUCUCUGCUGAGGUUGGUUGUGGCGUAGAGGAAGAAGAAAGAAAGAAUCGUUGAGGUUGGAAAAGACCUCUAAGGCCCUUAAGUCCAAUCCCAACCCAUCCCCACAGCAUCGUGUUCCUCAGUGCUGUGCUGGAAGCACUUGGAAAUGCCUUAAAAUCCGCCCCAAGGAUCUUCUGACCAAGUCUGGAUGAUGAAGAUAAGGAAGAAGGAAGAUCUGGCUGUAGAUGAAUCCAUGGGGCCACAGGUCUGCCUCCAAGACUUGCCUGCAGUGAGGUGUAGCAAGUUCAUGGAAUCACUAAGGCUGGAAAAGACCUCCAAGAUCCCCAAGCCAGCCCCAGCAUGCCCACUGACCCCACAUAACCUGGACAGUGGUACAGUGAGGGAACCAGACAUAAUGGGUGACUUCAGUGCAUCUCUGGACAAGGGAAGACACUGAACAGUGAGAUCAGGAGAACCUCAUGAGGUUCAGCAAAGCCAACUGUGAGAUCUGCCCCUUGGUCAUGGCAACUGCCCCUAUCAGUACAAGCUAUCAGUACAGUGCAGGUGUGCAUGUGUCAGCCUUGGGAACAUGUGAAAGGGGCCUGCAACCAGAGCAGCCAGAGGUGACUGCAGCCCAACAGAGAGCAAACCAUGCAGCACUACACUUCCCAUCACCUCCAGCUUCACCCCAAAGGCUUGUGGACCCAAUGCCACCCACUUCCUCGUGUCAUUCUUAUUUUUUCCUGUCUUUCUCACAUGUCUCCACAUAAGGAUGUGUCGUCCAUAGCAACAUGAUGUAAUCUCAAGCCCAACAGGCAAGUUAAAGCAAUGCCCCAUCAGCCUGAUGCCAGUUUUUCCAGAUCUCACAAUAGCUGACAAGGGAAUUUACACCCUCAGGGAAUUUGCACCUGACAGUCAGCGUGAGGCACAGCUGCUGCUCUUCAUACCUUUGCUGCUCUUUUCUGCUCCUUUGUGUUUUGUUUACAACGGAGAGCCAAGGCUCAGCAUAACAGGAGCUUCAGCCUCUACAAGCUUCAUUUCCCACCAAAACAAAAAAAGGACAAUGCCUAUGUUAAAUACCUUUUCAAGGCCUGCCAAACAGGAAUGCUUCUUACUACAACUCUGUGGAGUUCUCUCUUUGGAAAGGCAAUUAGAGGGACUGUUAAAAUUAAGCUUUGUAUUUCAAAUGCUUCAAUUCUUGGCUAUUUUUUUUCCCUUAUGUGUUUAUUGAGAGCUAUAAGUUAUUCUUAAGAGAGAUUUUAUGCCAUCGGAGCAAACAGGCUGUAACUUUGUGAUACCUUCAUGUAGGAUGGUGCCAGCCAUGCUCACACCCUGUGUUAUCAGUGCUCACCUUCCCAGAUGCAAUUAACAGCAGGAUUUGACCAUCAUUGCUGAUACUUAGAUAAGAGAAUUACCAAUCCAUCAGUUUAUCUCUGCUCCUCUCUGAAGAACAGAUAAAACAGAAGAUAAAAACUUUCACCUGUUCUUUCUUUCAUGGAAAUAACUGCAGUGUGAAGGGGUUGAAAGCUCUCUGUGGGAUCUCAUAAUGCAUCCCAAGUCAGAGUGUGAACUGCCUUCCUAGCUUUGCUAGCCCCAAGGGAGAGCAAUGAAGAAGCUACGAUGAUGCUGAUAUUGGACCAAGGCAUGUUGCUUCUCUCCCAGCAAUCCACAGAGGACAGUGUGCCAUAUACAGAGCAGCAUCAAACACUUUAGGGCCUAAAAGCUGAGUAAAAUGACCCAUGACUAGAGAGAAAUACAAGGUGAGUGGUGGGACACAGCUUGCUGCAAUGGAAGAGAAUGGUGAGAGCCUGCAGGCAGACCGUGGUGGUGCUCAGCUGGAAGGGAUGACUUCAUCCUUGCCAAAACGCAUGUGUGCAUAUAUAUGGCUCUGUGUGUUAUGUUGCUCUGCGUUCAGGGACAGAACUGACUGCUCCCUGUGCUGCUGCCCUGAAAUUCAGAACAUCCUUGAGGAGCAUAACUGCAGCUGUGGAAUGAAGAAUGGCUGAGCUCACAACGAUGUCACUGCACAUCAGGAGGAAAAACCAUCUGCACGGUCGUGAUAGCAUCCCCAGGGACCUGGCACUGCAGAGCAAACCCUCACCCGUGACAAACAGGAUUAGCCCUGCACCGGAGAGCCUCAGCACUGGGUGUGAGAGAGGCUGUGUCUGGAGUGAGGUGAACUGUUAGUCAGCAGAAAUGGAUGUUUGAGUCACUGAAGGCUUCUGAGCUGAAGGG